GAGGACCGGAGUGGACGAACCUCUGGUGUACCGGUUGUGACGCCAGUUGCAUUGCCGGGUAGCUAAGUUCGGACGGGAUAACCGCUGAAAGCAUCUAAGCGGGAAGCCUCCCUCAAGAUGAGUUUUCCCAUGAAGCCCGUUGAAGACUACGACGUUGAUAGGCGAGGUGUGGAAGCGCAGUAAUGUGUGAAGCUAACUCGUACUAAUUGGCUGAUUGUCUUGACCAUA
rnacentral:rRNA from 1 species